CUUUUAAGCAAGAAAGUGUGGAGAAUAGGCAGGAGUUACUGGACCUAUGGCUCUGUUCCCUCCCAUGUACCAACAUUUGGAGCUGGCCACACUCAAGUGAAAUAAAUGGACUAAAGCAACAGGGCUGGCUCUGACAGGAAGCAAGGAUUCAGGACUUCAAAUACAAACAUUAUGAAAAACAAGCAACAUCUGCAAACA